GGCAGCAGUGGGGAAUCUUAGACAAUGGGCGCAAGCCUGAUCUAGCCAUGCCGCGUGAGUGACGAAGGUCUUAGGAUCGUAAAGCUCUUUCGCCAGAGAUGAUAAUGACAGUAYCUGGUAAAGAAACCCCGGCUAACUCCGUGCCAGCAGCCGCGGUAAUACGGAGGGGGUUAGCGUUGUUCGGAAUUACUGGGCGUAAAGCGUACGUAGGCGGAUUGGAAAGUAGGGGGUGAAAUCCCAGGGCUCAACCCUGGAACUGCCUCCUAAACUAUCAGUCUAGAGUUCGAGAGAGGUGAGUGGAAUUCCAAGUGUAGAGGUGAAAUUCGUAGAUAUUUGGAGGAACACCAGUGGCGAAGGCGGCUCACUGGCUCGAUACUGACGCUGAGGUACGAAAGUGUGGGGAGCAAACAGGAUUAGAUACCCUGGUAGUCCACACCGUAAACGAUGAAUGCCAGUCGUCGGGGAGCUUGCUCUUCGGUGACACACCUAACGGAUUAAGCAUUCCGCCUGGGGAGUACGGUCGCAAGAUUAAAACUCAAA
rnacentral:rRNA from 1 species